GUAAGGAAUAUUGGACAAUGGACGCAAGUCUGAUCCAGCCAUGCCGCGUGAAGGAUUAAGGUCCUCUGGAUUGUAAACUUCUUUUAUAAGGGACGAAAAAAGGCUUUUCUAAGUCGUCUGACGGUACCUUAUGAAUAAGCACCGGCUAACUCCGUGCCAGCAGCCGCGGUACUACGGAGGGUGCAAGCGUUAUCCGGAUCCACUGGGUUUAAAGGGUGCGUAGGCGGGCAGGUAAGUCAGUGGUGAAAUCCUAGAGCUUAACUCUAGAACUGACAUUGGUACUAUCUGUCUUGAAUAUGGUGGAGGUAAGCGGAAUAUGUCAUGUAGCGGUGAAAUGCUUAGAUAUGACAUAGAACACCUAUUGCGAAGGCAGCUUACUACGCAUAUAUUGACGCUGAGGCACGAAAGCGUGGGGAUCAAACAGGAUUAGAAACCCGAGUAGUCC
rnacentral:rRNA from 1 species